GCACAUUCAGCAUUAAUCAUUAGGUCAAUGUCCUCUCUGACCUACUUCCUCCUAGUUGUUUGCUGCCUAUUGCCCAGAAUCCCAUAGAACCUAGAUUAUAGUUCCCCUUAACUGCUCUGUACAUAACAACUUGAGCAUUUUGAAACGUUAAGUUUACCAUUUGAGAUAUUCUUUCAGGACCUGCUUGCUGAUGAAACUACUGACAUCAGCUGGUCUAAAGAACCCCACAAGGAGCUGACUGUGGAGAAAAAGUUAAAUAUUAAAUUUGAACUCAACUGAACAUGGACACAAGCAAUGGUCACCAAGUGCCGGAACAGGUUGUGUGAGCUCCUUGAGGCGUUCAUCCAGCGCUGUUUCAGAGAAAUCUCUAUUUCAAUCUAUUCCUAUACGUUAGUUAUUAAAAAACAAUAGACAGUCACAAAAACAAGUUGACCUUUUUGUGUUCCUUGAGCCCGGUCGGGAAGGACCCUUGUGACUGGGCCUCAUGCCAAACAAGUCAUUACAGAAAGAGCUAGGGUCCCAGACUGCCCUGAAGCUUCAUGAGACCUCUCCUCGUGUGUGCACAGAUGAGUGGCCAACUCUGGAGCCAAGGCUGUUGCUUCCCAAUCUGGUGGUGAAUCCUCCAUACACUGCCUUGCCUUGCUUUGCUUGUCACACGGAGGAUCAGAGCUCACUUUGUAAACGUGGUGAGGAUGAUACCAUGGAGGGCGUGAGGAUGAUACCAUGGAGGGCGUGAGGAUGAUACCACAGAGGGUGUGAGGAUGAAGAUGCAGGACACUGGGCACUGGAGUCUGGAGAGCGGGAGGAGACUCAUCCUUUGAAGGAUCGUGAGCAUGGCUUGCAGGAAGUGUCGGAGGAUGAUUCGAAGGUAUCCCUGUUUUACAGAUGAAGAAACACAGACACAGAAGUCACAGCCAGGGAGAGAUUUUGGCAGCAGAAGCUCUAUCUGGGGUGUAGCAGUUGAGCCCUCAGUUUCUGCUCAGACGGACCUGGGUCUGAUCCCAGCUCCACCACGGGCCAGCUGUGAUGGCACCCCCAUCACAGGCCAUUUGAAGAGUAAAUGAGGUGACACAUCUUAGGUGCUAGCAAAGUCCCGGCACAUAGUAAAUGCUCAAGUAAAUGCAGCUGCUGUUGUUCUUAUUGGCAUGCUGACUGCACCUGCAGAGACUGCCUCUGCCCGGGCCCCACCCGCAGACUUUCCUCUCUUUCCUUUCCCUAACAUCCGAUUCCUAUUCCUUUCUGUUUCUAUGACCAGAUUAAAAGUCACUCCCCUAUUUAAAAUCCUGCCUGUCAGUCUGGUGAAAAAUGUGGAAAUGGAAUUUAGGAAUUAGACAGGUUUGAAUGCAAAUCUGUUUUCUCCCUUCAUUAGCUGGAAGUCCUUAGACAAGUCCCUUAACCAAGCCUCAGUUGACUCACCUGCAUAAUGAAGACAGCACUCUGCAGCCUGCGGCUUAUGGUAAAAACCAAAUGAAACAACAGGUGAGAAAAGGGCUUUGCAAAUGGCAAAUGGCAAACCACUGCUCAAAUGCUGGCUUGUUUUCCUUCUCAUUUUCGGUGUCCCUUGGUAACCUGAGUGUUUAACCUGUGUUUUCUUUCUUUGGUUUAAUGAAGGCCCACUGUGAAGAAAUAGCCAUGUUGGGGGAUAGAUCCACCAACCAAGCCUGGAGUUAGGUCCACAGUUCUGAGCUUGAGUCAAGCUCCCCGACAAUGCUGUGUGCUCUGGGCCCUGCAGACCUCUGGGCUGCUACUGGCCUUUCUGCCUCUCUGCUCCUCCCUCCCUCUGCUCCCCCACACAGCUCUGCAGCAGCCUCCAAACACCUCUGGCUCUGCUGCUUCUACCCGGAACGCCCCUCCCUCCUCUUGUUCCUCCUCCUCUCUCUCAGGGAAGCCCUCCCUGACCCCAAGACCCAGGCACACACUACACAAUUCGCAAAGAAUGAGUAGCUUCUCUCCCAGCUUAUUUUGUGACUUCCAUGAGUUUGGGGACUGUGUCUGUCUGACUUACACUUGUGUCCAGAGUUCUGCAUAAUGCCUGGCAGAACUCUAUCCACUCAACAUUGUUCAUAAA
rnacentral:lncRNA from 10 species